GUGGUUAAGUGCACACAUUCCGCUUCGGCGGCCCGGGGUUUGCUGGUUUGGAUCCCAGGUGCGGACAUGGCACCACUUGGCAAGCCAUGCUGUGAGCUCCCCAGCUGAUUUGGAUGGUCAUCAUAUAUCUCACGUGAGGAGACCGAGCCUGGAGAGUUUGGGCCCAAGCAGGGAUUGCUCAGGACUCCUUCCCGAGAGUCUGUCAACACCCUUCUUCUCCUUCUUCCCAUCCUGGCUUGGCCUCUGGCUCUCAGAACCACUUUGUCCUGCACAGUUUUUGCCUUCUGUUGGGGACGUCAAGCUAUGAGCCAGACAUUCCUCUGAGGGUCUCGGUGGGUGGGAGAAGCAGCCCCAUGUGCUGGCCACCAGCCCCUCCUGCCCUCUCUGAGGGUGAUCUAUGGCUUGUCAGAGGUGUGGGUUCUCGCCAUUUGCUGAAUAGAAAGCUUCUUUGUUCUUGGGAGUGAAAAUAACCCUAAGAUAAAUGUGGGGGCUGGAAGAGCUCAGGGAAUGUUGGGCUCUAGCUGCCUGGAGGCUCCUCCCUGAAGCAGAGGGUCUAAGGUUGGGAGAGACAGGAGCAGGUAGAUCAUGGUCAUGAGUCCUCUGGGGACUGUGAGCUGUGGCCCUUGGAGGGUGGCCAUGGGCUCUUCUCAAAUGCAACCCAGCUACCAACACCUGCCUGAAACUUACUUCCCUGGUCAGUAACCUUCCGUCAACCCAUGGAAAUUUCCUAUCCUUCGUCACUUAUUGGUUAAACAGGACCAACCUCUCCAUAACUUCCUCUACUUCCUGUCACCUGGAGGCUGCCCUCUGCUCCCCUAAAAAAAACUCCCUUUUAUCUUCUCUCUACUAUUUGUCUUCCCAUCCCCUUGCCUUCCUACUUGCCCCACGGAGCCUGCAUUUAGUUUUUCUGGCUCUUGUGGAGAAAGGACAGGACCCACCUCUGCACCUGGCUGCUGCAAACCCCAUAAAGUUCAGGGUAUGACUCUUCCAUGGACCGUAACCCCUCCCUUCCCUAAUCCGGCCCAGGCAGGCCUGAGUUGGAGGACGCUGGA
rnacentral:lncRNA from 1 species